rnacentral:rRNA from 1 species
ACCAGACUCCUACGGGAGGCAGCAGUGGGGGAUAUUGCACAAUGGGGGGAACCCUGAUGCAGCGACGCCGCGUGGGUGAAGAAGCGCCUCGGCGCGUAAAGCCCUGUCAGCAGGGAAGAAAAUGACGGUACCUGAAGAAGAAGCCCCGGCUAACUACGUGCCAGCAGCCGCGGUAAUACGUAGAGGGCAAGCGUUAUCCGGAUUUACUGGGUGUAAAGGGGGCGCAGACGGCGAUGCAAGCCAGGAGUGAAAGCCCGGGGCCCAACCCCGGGACUGCUCUUGGAACUGCGUGGCUGGAGUGCAGGAGGGGCAGGCGGAAUUCCUGGUGUAGCGGUGAAAUGCGUAGAUAUCAGGAGGAACACCGGUGGCGAAGGCGGCCUGCUGGACUGCAACUGACGUUGAGGCCCGAAAGCGUGGGGAGCAAACAGGAUUAGAUACCCCGGUA